rnacentral:misc_RNA from 1 species
GAUGAAGAACGCAGCGAAAUGUGAUAAGUAAUGUGAAUUGCAGAAUUCAGUGAAUCAUCGAAUCUUUGAACGCACAUUGCGCCCGCCAGUAUUCUGGCGGGCAUGCCUGUUCGAGCGUCAUUUCAACCAUCAAGCCCCCGGCUUGUGUUGGGGACCUGCGGCUGCCGCAGGCCCUGAAAACCAGUGGCGGGCUCGCUGUCACACCGAGCGUAGUAGAUUUUCAUCUCGCUCAGGGCGUGCUGCGGGUUCCGGCCGUAAAAAGCCUUAUUUACCCAAGGUUGACCUCGGAUCAGGUAGGAAGACCCGCUGAACUUAAGCAUAUCAAUAAGCGGAGGA